UACGGAGGGUGCAAGCGUUGCUCGGAAUUACUGGGCGUAAAGGGCUCGUAGGCGGCCAACUAAGUCAGACGUGAAAUCCCUCGGCUUAACCGGGGAACUGCAUCUGAUACUGGAUGGCUUGAGUUCGGGAGAGGGAUGCGGAAUUCCAGGUGUAGCGGUGAAAUGCGUAGAUAUCUGGAGGAACACCGGUGGCGAAGGCGGCAUCCUGGACCGACACUGACGCUGAGGAGCGAAAGCCAGGGGAGCAAAGCGGGG
rnacentral:rRNA from 1 species